CACAUAGACAUGUUGUGGGAGAUUUUGAAAGCAGAAAGAUUCGCUUAUCAGCUUCCAGACCUAGGGAAGGCAAGCAAGUGCAGAGACUGUUUCCUGUAGCUACAGGGGAAGUUUUGUUGGUUUUUUUCCUGAAAGCAAGUAAUUUCAGAUAAAAUAUUUUGUCCAGUGAGAACCAAUAACCAAUGGCCUGCCUUUGCAUUCAGGGCUGAAUAUAUGCCAGAUUUAUUUGAAGGGGUCUUUGCAGGGAACAGAUGUGGGAGUAUGUGCUGUGAAACUGUGAAGAGGCAAGAGGAGUAACUAGAGGCAGGAUGACCACUGCCUGCUUAUCCUGGUUUGAGAGGAGCAGAGGACACAAAGUCAGCUAUUUCUAUACCUCAUUCUCCCACCCCUGGCCCUGGCUCCUCUGGCACUCAGCCACCAUUCUGCAGCAGGUCUGACUGAAUCUGAUGUCUGCCAGAGACUGUUCUUCAUCAGCCAGGCCCUGGAGGACACUGAGCCAGCAAAUCAGAUGCACACGACUUGCCUGGCUGUGCUGCAUCCAAGCUCUGCCUUCCUGCAACAUAGGCUCUCCCCUUGAAGUUCACUGCAGGUUUCAGCUCAGUGAGUUAAAGCCACUAUCAGCUUUCAGGCUAUGAGUUAAGUCUCUGCUCCCAAAAUGUCGGUGGGAGGACUGCCAUUACAUUAACUGGGAUCAGGAUUUUAUUCCAUGAGUAUUCUUUAGGGAAGAUCAGAAAUGCUGUGUUAAAAAUUCAAAUGAGAGAAAUCUCAGCUUACAACAUUCUGGGAUAUUUGGGAGGAAAAAAUGGGAAAACGAGUGUCGAAGAAGUCUCUUCAGCAAUAAAACUGAUCACAUUAUUGCAGCAAGAAACUCACAAGACAAAGUGAAGAGUGUGCU